rnacentral:misc_RNA from 1 species
AUCCAGUGCAAGGAAAGGGUUCUAAGAAUUGAGCUUGAGUCACCAAUGUCAUCCUUAGGAGCUGCAGAGCCACUAAUGCACCGUAUGGUGAAGUAUUUGGCUCUUGCGUCCAACAUGAAAAACAAAGAUGGAAAAUCAAGUUCAACUGGGAACUCAUAUGUUCAACUAAUUAUUUUGAAAUUGCUGGUCACUUGGAUGGCUGACUGCUCCACUGCAGUUCAGUGCUUCCUGGAUUCACGUCCCCAUCUAACAUAUCUCCUUGAAUUGGUGUCAAAUCCAU